UGGGGAAUAUUGGACAAUGGGCGAAAGCCUGAUCCAGCAAUACCGCGUGUGUGAAGAAGGCCUUAGGGUUGUAAAGCACUUUCAAUUGGGAGGAAAACCURCCGGUCAAUACCCGGUAGCUUGACAUUACCUUUAGAAGAAGCACCGGCUAACUCCGUGCCAGCAGCCGCGGUAAUACGGAGGGUGCGAGCGUUAAUCGGAAUUACUGGGCGUAAAGCGUGCGUAGGCGGUUCGUUAAGUCAGAUGUGAAAGCCCUGGGCUCAACCUGGGAACUGCAUUUGAAACUGGCGGACUAGAGUUUAGUAGAGGGGAGUGGAAUUUCAGGUGUAGCGGUGAAAUGCGUAGAUAUCUGAAGGAACACCAGUGGCGAAGGCGACUCCCUGGACUAGAACUGACGCUGAGGUACGAAAGCGUGGGUAGCAAACAGGAUUAGAUACCCUGGUAGUCCACGCCGUAAACGAUGUCGACUAGCCGUUGGUCCUAUUUACAGGAUUAGUGGCGCAGCUAACGCAUUAAGUCGACCGCCUGGGGAGUACGGCCGCAAGGUUA
rnacentral:rRNA from 1 species